AUACGGAGGAUGCGAGCGUUAUCCGGAUUUAUUGGGUUUAAAGGGUGCGUAGGCGGUUUUUCAAGUCAGCGGUGAAACGCAAGGGCUCAACCCUUGACCUGCCGUUGAAACUGUUGGACUAGAAUGCGGAUGCUGUGGGAGGAAUGUGUGGUGUAGCGGUGAAAUGCAUAGAUAUCACACAGAACACCGAUUGCGAAGGCAUCUCACAAAUCCGUGAUUGACGCUGAGGCACGAAAGUGUGGGGAUCAAACAGGAUUAGAUACCCUGGUAGUCCACACUGUAAACGAUGAUAACUCGCUGUCGGCGAUACACAGUCGGUGGCCAAGCGAAAGCGAUAAGUUAUCCACCUGGGGAGUACGACCGCAAGGUUGAAACUCAAAGGAAUUGACGGGG
rnacentral:rRNA from 1 species